UAGCCGUAAACGAUACUCGCUAGGUGUCGGCCACGGUGCGACCGUUGUCGGUGCCGUAGGGAAGCCGUGAAGCGAGCCACCUGGGAAGUACGGCCGCAAGGCUGAAACUUAAAGGAUUGGCGGGGGAGCACAACAACGGGUGGAGCUUGCGGUUUAAUUGGAUUCAACGCCGGACAACUCACCGGGGACGACAGCAAUAUGUAGGCCAGGCUGAAGACCUUGCCUGAAUCGCUGAGAGGUGGUGCAUGGCGUAGACGUCU
rnacentral:rRNA from 1 species